rnacentral:rRNA from 1 species
GUGGGGAAUCUUCCGCAAUGGACGAAAGUCUGACGGAGCAACGCCGCGUGAGUGAAGAAGGUUUUCGGAUCGUAAAGCUCUUUCGUUAGGGACGAACGUGCUCUUUGUGAAUAAUGAGGAGUAAUGACGGUACCUAAAUAAGAAGCCACGGCUAACUACGUGCCAGCAGCCGCGGUAAUACGUAGGUGGCAAGCGUUGUCCGGAAUUAUUGGGCGUAAAGCGCGCGCAGGCGGGAUAUCAAGUCUGUCUUAAAAGUGCGAGGCUCAACCUCGUGAGGGGACAGAAACUGGUAUUCUUGAGUGUUGGAGAGGAAAGUGGAAUUCCAAGUGUAGCGGUGAAAUGCGUAGAGAUUUGGAAGAACACCAGUGGCGAAGGCGACUUUCUGGACGAUGUCUGACGCUGAGGCGCGAAAGCUAGGGGAGCGAACGGGAUUAGAAACCCGGUAGUCC